rnacentral:rRNA from 1 species
UAUAAUGGGUCAGCGACUUAUAUUCUGUAGCAAGGUUAACCGAAUAGGGGAGCCGAAGGGAAACCGAGUCUUAACUGGGCGUUAAGUUGCAGGGUAUAGACCCGAAACCCGGUGAUCUAGCCAUGGGCAGGUUGAAGGUUGGGUAACACUAACUGGAGGACCGAACCGACUAAUGUUGAAAAAUUAGCGGAUGACUUGUGGCUGGGGGUGAAAGGCCAAUCAAACCGGGAGAUAGCUGGUUCUCCCCGAAAGCUAUUUAGGUAGCGCCUCGUGAAUUCAUCUCCGGGGGUAGAGCACUGUUUCGGCAAGGGGGUCAUCCCGACUUACCAACCCGAUGCAAACUGCGAAUACCGGAGAAUGUUAUCACGGGAGACACACGGCGGGUGCUAACGUCCGUCGUGAAGAGGGAAACAACCCAGACCGCCAGCUAAGGUCCCAAAGUCAUGGUUAAGUGGGAAACGAUGUGGGAAGGCCCAGACAGCCAGGAUGUUGGCUUAGAAGCAGCCAUCAUUUAAAGAAAGCGUAAUAGCUCACUGGUCGAGUCGGCCUGCGCGGAAGAUGUAACGGGGCUAAACCAUGCACCGAAGCUGCGGCAGCGACGCUGAUGCGUUGUUGGGUAGGGGAGCGUUCUGUAAGCCUGCGAAGGUGUGCUGUGAGGCAUGCUGGAGGUAUCAGAAGUGCGAAUGCUGACAUAAGUAACGAUAAAGCGGGUGAAAAGCCCGCUCGCCGGAAGACCAAGGGUUCCUGUCCAACGUUAAUCGGGGCAGGGUGAGUCGACCCCUAAGGCGAGGCCGAAAGGCGUAGUCGAUGGGAAACAGGUUAAUAUUCCUGUACUUGGUGUUACUGCGAAGGGGGGACGGAGAAGGCUAUGUUGGCCGGGCGACGGUUGUCCCGGUUUAAGCGUGUAGGCUGGUUUUCCAGGCAAAUCCGGAAAAUCAAGGCUGAGGCGUGAUGACGAGGCACUACGGUGCUGAAGCAACAAAUGCCCUGCUUCCAGGAAAAGCCUCUAAGCAUCAGGUAACAUCAAAUCGUACCCCAAACCGACACAGGUGGUCAGGUAGAGAAUACCAAGGCGCUUGAGAGAACUCGGGUGAAGGAACUAGGCAAAAUGGUGCCGUAACUUCGGGAGAA